CAAACGAAUCACUGCUCAACCCAGGAAUGUAGGGAAGGAAGGAGAACGAGGGCGCUGGCGAGCAUGUGCAGAGUGCAGCGGCUGUCCCACGGCUUGGCUGGUUCUUCCUGCUGGGGCUCCCGUUUGAGAAGAGCCUCUCCGCUGGCGCCGCACGUUCCCCAGGUGGCAACACCUGUCGCAGGUACGUGUGGGUCACGUGGCUCGGCCGUCGGCCUCGGGAGCCGCCGCAACAGCAGCCACUUCCUUCCCCUCCUGGCGCUUCUCUGGCGCGUCUCUGAGCUUGUUUUCUAGGGAAGAGCUCUAGGGAGUUAGGGGCGUCGAGGAGGCGCGAUCGUAUCCCUGGCAAAGGCGGCUGGUCCUCGGCGGGGCGAAGAUGAGCAAGAUCCACAAGUUUUUCAAGGGCGGAGGAGGCGCCAAGGGGAAAGGCAAAGGGGGCCCGAGCCCGCAGGAGGCUUUAGCCCGGCUGCGGGAGACCGAGGAGAUGCUGACCAAGAAGCAGGAGUAUCUGGAGGCGAGGAUCCAAAAGGAGCUGGCGCUGGCCAAGAAACACGGCACCCGAGACAAGCGAGCUGCACUGCAGGCACUGAAGAGGAAAAAGAGAUACGAGAAACAGUUGACCCAAAUCGAUGGGACCCUUUCCACCAUUGAAUUCCAACGCGAAGCCCUUGAAAAUUCCUACACUAACACAGAAGUGUUCAAGAACAUGGGCUAUGCAGCCCAAGCGAUGAAAAAGGUGCAUGAAAACAUGGACUUGGACAAAAUUGACGACAUGAUGCAAGAUAUCACUGAACAGCAAGAUAUCGCUCAGGAAAUCACAGAAGCUCUUACCAGAAAAGUUGGUGAUGACUUUGAUGAGGAUGAACUGUUGGCAGAACUGGAAGAACUGGAGCAAGAAGAACUCAAUAAUAAAAUGGCAAAUGUUCGACUACCAAGUGUACCAGCUACGCCGCUGCCUUCCCAUCCUGCAUCUUCAAGGAAGAGGGUGGAAGAUGAAGAUGAUAUGCAGCAGCUUGCGGCAUGGGCUUCUUAACAGCAAUCUACAGGGUUACGGGAAACGCCAUGGAAGAAGUUUAUGGAACAGUGUUUUGUUUUACACAGAGCAUGGCUGUGUUUGAUACAGUCCGGCAUUGGUCCCUGGUGGGAUUUUAUGUCUGUAUGUAUGUGUAUAUGUACACAUGUAUGUAUAUGUGUGUGUGUCUGUAUUUUUAAGAGAGCCAGGAUUACUUAAGACCUGUACUUGAAGUGUGCCUUCUUCUUCAGAUGCAGCCUCAUAUGAAUUUCUUUUUUCAUACAGAAGAAAUCUGAUUAUUUUUUUAUAUUACCGGUGAAAAUUGACUGGGGUAGUCUAUUACUACUACACAGUAUUAUCCUUUGACUCUGAAAGCUCUGUGUAUAGGUACAGGCAUUCAUGCUUAUUACCUGAAUUAAUUGGUUCUGUUCCAUAGAAACAUUCAAAGCUGAGAGCCGAUAUAUGCAGCUCUCCCAGGCUGUUGCUUUUCCUCUUUUGUACGUACUGACUUUUGCUUGUACAGGUUGAAACCCUGUUUGCUGCAGAGGAUGGUAUGAGCAGGCAUGUUUCUAAUAUAGAGCAACAUCCUCUGUAGAGUUUCAAACAAGUUUGGAGUUGUUGGAAUAUGUGGUCCAUUUGGUCCCACUAGGUAGAGAUGAAGGAGAAAUUUGAUUUCGUUUUAAUGCACACCUCCCCAAACAACACACAAGCCACAAAAUGCGCUUAUCCUUCAAUAUUUGCACUUUUCUGAAUUUUGCAAUGCAGUUUUCCAACCAAAAGGUGUAAAAAUGUGUCUGUUAAGAGAGUUUGCAUUAAAAUGUGUUACAUUAGGAGAAAUUGCCUUCACAAAUAUGUAUAACAGAAGAACCUCGCAAACUGAUUUGGAAAUAUGAUGAACCUAUUUUAAAAUCUAACAUACCAACAACUGGGAGACACCAAAAUUGGCAGAUUCAUCUACCCCUACAGGGUGUCGUGAAAAUAUUUGUCUAAGUCCUGCCAGAGUUUUGUGCUGUUGGAUUUCUUUGCUUUCUAUGGGAGUUUCCUUCCAUGUAGCUACUUGUUCACUCGGGGUCCUAUAUGGAAGAGCCAAAGACUGAUGUGGCACCUUAAAGACUAGCACACUAUCUUUGUCAAGUGUAUACAGUGAAAGACAACUUGGGUCUUGUAUAGGCACAUAACACAUGAAGAGCUCUGCAGUCUAAAAUGCUGGAUGCAGUUUGGCUUGCUAUAAGUGGCUAAAUUCCACUGAGUUUUUGUGUGUUUGAUUGCUAAAAUGGAGUUAAUUUUAGCCAACAAAGGUAGUUGAGUGGAGCACGUUUGAUGGGGGGGGGCAGGCGGGCUGAGAAACCAGUUUAUAAUGGGUGUUUGGUUUUGUGACCAGCCGACUUCAAACUGAUUUUAUCAGACCGUUUUAGCAUGGAGGUUGCAGUCCACUAAAUCAAAGGGCUGACUUCAUGCUGGAGAAUAGUGGGCAGAGAAUGGCCGAGAAUCUUCUGUUCCCUUUUCCCACUUAGCUUUCUUUUAACACUGAACCUUUCAUAUUGCCAUGCCUAUUAUCCAAUGGAGAAUCUUAAUAGGUUUUUAAGGUUGUGACUUUUGAAAUGUCCUCCUUACACUUGUUCAGUUUCUUUCUUUUUUCCUUUUUGCCUGAAUGAAACACUUUACAUUGGAAUAAUUUAUAUAACUUGAAGUACCAAAUUUCAAACAGGGUCAUUUUUUUUGACCUGGUAGAAACAGAGCUAGGUUUCAGAUGAUUGGAUAAUGAAGAUGCAAAUAAAUAUAUUGUCUGAAAAUAUUUGUGUUUGACUUGGUAAGUGUUUUUCCUAUCUUGCUGUAAAGCAGGGGUGGGAAACCUUUAGUCCCUUCAAAUAUUGUUUGAAUAAUAAUAAUAAUAAUAAUAAUAAU